rnacentral:rRNA from 1 species
AACGAACGCUGGCGGCGCGUUUUAAGCAUGCAAGUCGGACGGUAGCUGGAGCUUGUAGCUCUGGUGAGAGUGGCGAACGGGUGAGUAACACGUAGGUUAUCUGUCCCGGGGUGGGGGAUAGCCCAUGGAAACAUGGGGUAAUACCGCAGAAGCCCUUCGGGGUUAAAGGAGCAAUUGUUCCGCCUGGGGAUGAGCCUGCGGUCCAUUAGUUAGUUGGUGAGGUAAGGGCUCACCAAGGCUAUGAUGGAUAGCCGGCCUGAGAGGGUGAACGGCCACACUGGGACUGAGACACGGCCCAGACUCCUACGGGAGGCAGCAGCUGAGAAUCUUCCGCAAUGGGCGCAAGCCUGACGGAGCGACGCCGCGUGGACGAAGAAGGCCGGAAGGUUGUAAAGUCCUUUUCUCUGCGAAGAAUAAGGCUGGGAGUGGAAAGCCCGGCUGAUGACGUUAGCGGAGGAACAAGCCCCGGCCAAUUACGUGCCAGCAGCCGCGGUAACACGUAUGGGGCGAGCGUUGUUCGGAAUUAUUGGGCGUAAAGGGCGUGUAGGCGGCCUCGUAAGCUUGGUGUUAAAGGCUCUGGCUCAACCAGAGUUUGGCGCCGGGAACUGCGGAGCUAGAGUCCAGGAGGGGGAGCUGGAAUUCCUGGUGUAGGGGUGAAAUCUGUAGAUAUCAGGAAGAACACCGGUGGCGAAGGCGAGCUCCUGGCCAUGGACUGACGCUGAGGCGCGAAAGCGUGGGGAGCGAACAGGAUUAGAUACCCUGGUAGUCCACGCUGUAAACGAUGUGCACUAGGCGUUGGGGGUUUUGAUGCUCUCGGUGCCGUAGCUAACGCGUUAAGUGCACCGCCUGGGGAGAUGCCCGCAAGGGU